rnacentral:rRNA from 1 species
UACAGAGGGGGCAAGCGUUGUUCGGAAUUACUGGGCGUAAAGGGCGCGUAGGCGGCCUGUUAAGUCGAACGUGAAAUCCCCGGGCUCAACCCGGGAACUGCGUCCGAUACUGGCAGGCUUGAAUCCGGGAGAGGGACGUGGAAUUCCAGGUGUAGCGGUGAAAUGCGUAGAUAUCUGGAGGAACACCGGUGGCGAAGGCGGCAUCCUGGACCGGUAUUGACGCUGAGGCGCGAAAGCCAGGGGAGCAAACGGG